UACGUAGGGGUGCAAGCGUUGUCCGGAAUUAUUGGGCGUAAAGAGCUCGUAGGCGGUCUGUCGCGUCUGGUGUGAAAACUCGGGGCUUAACCCCGGGCCUGCAUCGGGUACGGGCAGACUAGAGUGCGGUAGGGGAGACUGGAAUUCCUGGUGUAGCGGUGAAAUGCGCAGAUAUCAGGAGGAACACCGGUGGCGAAGGCGGUUCUCUGGGCAUGUCCUGACGCUGAGGAGCGAAAGUGUGGGGAGCGAACAGG
rnacentral:rRNA from 1 species